AGGUAACCUCCUUGUGAUGGCAAUGAAGUUGUUGAUCUGCUCGGAAAUUAAUGUCUUUUGCUCUUCGGGUUUGCUGAGAUGGAUUUAUUUAUAUCCAUCCAUGAAGCUGGCCUAGUAUGCUCUAGAACAUU